GUGUAAUUUGACAGGCCAAGUUCUUCCACCCGAAACACGAAGAAUCACAUUAUCAUGAGUCCUGUUUAGAAGAUGUUCCCGGGCAAACUUAGCUUCCAAAUUCUGAAAUAGAAAGAGAAGCAGAAGUUGUACAUGAUCUGUCUCUCUAGAAAGCUUACCAAAGUAUUUGCCUGGAUAUACGAGGGACGCAUAACAACCAUGCAACAAGGGUAUUCAGAUUUGAAAGCCCUUGCUCUCUGAAGAGCUCUAUUUGUUCCGCUUUCUGCAUGGUGGAGAAUCGUCCAAGAUUUCAACACAACCAUCAUCUUCAUCAGUUUCUUCAGUUUCGGACAUUGUUUUUUCACCAUCAACGUCUGCAAGCACCCGCAAAAGAUUAAGGUGACAGGCCAAGUUCUUCCAUCCGAAACACGAAGGAUUACUUGAUGAUAAUUCCACUUAAGAAAGUGUUCCUUGGUAAACUUGGCUCCCAAAUACUGAAAAGAAAGAGAAUCAGGUAAUUUGGAGAGGAUUUGCGUUGUAAUUUGUUUGAGCUUAAUUUUCAGUUUGAAAACUAACACACACAUAUAUGUAGACAUAAAAUUAGCAGAACUUGUACAUUAUGUCUCUCUAUAAAAAGCUUACCACAUAAUGUGCAUGGAUAUACGAGGGACUCAUAACAACUGUGCAAGAAGGGUAUUCAGAUUUGAAAGCCUUUGCUCUCUGAAGGGCUCUAUUUGUACCAUGUGCCGUAACUGGGUUCAUCUUCCUAAGAACUUGAAGAGUUCUUCGGUUCAUUAUUUUUUUAGUCAAAGACGAGCCACCAAAUUUCUUUAUGCGGUUUUCUGCUGUGCUAACUGAACAUGUUCUGUUUUUCUUGUGAGGCUGUGGUGCUAUUGGUGAUUUCUUCUUUGUUUUCGGGCAUGUUGGAAAAUCGUCCAAGAUUUCAAUGGAAUCAUCAUCUUCAUCAGUUUCUUCCAUUUGGGACAUUGUUUGUUCCCCGUCAACAUCUGCGAGCACAUCACAAAAGAUGAACGUGAUGGAUUGUUAAUCUCUAUGGCACUUCCAUCAAUUAAUCAGUUCAGAAAUUAAAAGACAACGUACCUGGUGGUGAGAAUACCAAGUUCCCCCAUCCAAAACCCGAAGGGUAAUGGCACCAGGAUGCUUACCGAGACGUCUCAUGUGGAUACACAAUUUUGAAGGCAGCCACUGAAAAUAAUCAAAUGAAGGAAAAGACGAUAAGCAAACAAAUUUGACGGUCCAUGAUGGUUGUCUAUAGAGAACUUACCACAGAAUAUCCAUUGAUAUAAGUGCGCUUCAUGGGAACUAUGAAAGAAGGGUUGUCAGAUUUGAAAGCUGUAGCUCUCCGAAGAGCUACAGCAGCUUUUCCUCUUGCAUUCGACGCAUGCAUCCUCCCAAGAACUGUUUGAGCUCGUUUUGGAGUGCUGGACGUGCCUUCACCGUGUCUUUUGGAUGCAAACUCAGCUUUGCAUGUCAAAGAACACAGUAGGAUAUUAAAAGUUAGAACAGAAUGGCAGAAAGCACAAUAAGGUAAAAAAUCGGAAGCUAAACAUAUGUUGCGUAUUAAUGUUUCAAUUUUUAUUUCUGAUUUUUAUUGACUUCUUAAACAUCAUUUCGUAAUGUAAUCAGAGUAUUUUUUUGGUUUCU